UCCUGACCCAGGGAUUGAACCCAAGUUUCCUGCAUUGGCAGGCAGAUUCCUUACUGCUGAGCCACUAGGGAAGCAAAGCAUAGACCAUGUCUUCCUAAAUCCCAACAGCUAGCAGGGACGUAGACUCAUAAACAGGCCAUUAUAAAAGUAUUUGGAGAUAUGGUCAUGGAGAUCCUUGAGAAUGGUUAGAAGAGGUACCUACCUAAGUCAGCCUGAAAGGCCAUAGGAAAUUAGGAUCGAAGCGUCAAGAAAGGAAUACGGAGAUAAAACCCAAACGAAGUAGGAAAGGAUGAGUCAGAGUUAACCAAGCUGAGAGGAAGCAUGUUCCCAGUGAAGUGAAGUCAAUGAGGCAAGAAUCCCAGGCCAACAAGCAGAAUGCCCUUGGUAGCCAAGGAGUAGCCAGUGAGGAGUGGUGAGAGAUGAAGGGGGGGUGGGGCAGGUGUAUCAGUUGGCUUUUCCUGUGUAACAAACCACCCUAAAACUUUAUGGCUCGAAAGCUGCUGCUGCAAGGUCAUUUCAGUCAUGUCCAACUGUUUACGACCCUAUGGACUGUUGUCUGCCAGGCUGCUCCGUCCAUGGAAUACUCCAGGCAAGAAUACCGGAGUGCCCUUCUCCAGGGGAUUUUCCCAACCCCAGGAAUCAAAGCCAGGUCUCCUACAUUGCAGGCAGAUUCUUUAACACUGAGCCACCAGGGAAGCCCCAGGGCUCGAAAUAACCACCAUUAUGUUUAUUAAUACUCAUGAACCUGUGGAUCAGCUGGGCAGUUCUUUGGGUCUGGACCAGCUGGGCCAGGAUAGGAUGACCUAACUCACACAUCUGAGGUAUCAGUUAGGAUACCUGGGAUGUCGUCUCUCAUCCUGAAAGAAUUCACUUGGAUUCUUCAUUUGACGAACAUCAAGUGUUCCCAGAGAGCUACAGGAGUGAAAGCAUUUUCAAGCCUUCACUUGGAUUCACUUGCUAGUAUCCAACUUGCUAAGCCCAUAGUCAGUGUGGGAGAGGACUAUCACAAGCAUGGGAGGUGUGAUAUAUUGCAGGCUGAUACGUUAACAAUCUCCUACAAGAAAAAGGAUGAUAGAAGGUCUUGAGUGUUAUGACAUGCUAAAGAAAUGGGAGACCGUUUAAGACUUUAAAACAGAGGGAAUAUAUAUACACAAACACAUAUUUGCAAGCUAAGGUUGUCAUGUGUUUUGGAUAACUAUCCAGAAGUGGAAUUGCUGCAUCCACUUGGUUUUUGGUAGUUCUAUUUUUAAUUUUCUGAGACCCCUCCAUCUGUUUUCCAUAGUAGCUACACCAAUUUAUAUUCCCACCAACAGUGCACAAGGGUUCCUCAUUCUCUACAUCCUCACUCAGUUCCGUUCAGUUCAGUCGCUCAGUCGUACAUGACUAACCGACUGAACUGAACUGAACUGAGGAGUCUCAGCUGAGAGAUGAUCACCUAAAAGUUGAAAAUGGGCAAUAGUAGUUAGGGCAGAGACAAGAGGAUGGGUUUGAGAAAUAUUUGGGGCUUAACACUAGAAUAGGAAGGAAAUUGAUUUUAUGGAUAACUCUAAGAAGAAGAAAGACUCAAGAGAAAUCUCAAAACUUUUUCUGACUUAGGUUGCUUAGAGGACUGCUUCCAACUGGUACAGCUAAUAUGGGAGGAAAGGCUCAUUUAGAAGGAAAAAUAAUGAUGAGUUGUAUGUGAGGUGAAUGCGAGAUACCUGUGGGAGUCUAGGCUGAUGGGCAACCAUUGGACAGACCCUGUGAGUUUAGUUGCAAGCCAAUUAAUGGCCAGCCUUGAGAUAACAUAAUGUGAAAAGAAACUACCCAUAUACUCUACUUAUGUUUACAGGCAAAGGAUCUUAUUUUCAGA
ensembl:lncRNA